CAGAGAAACACGAGGGUAGUCACGGGUCUGCAGCAUGGCGGUGUUUGCGGACUUGGACUUGCGGGCCAGUUCCGACCUCAAGACUCUACGCGGACUAGUGGAGACAGCUGCUCACCUUGGCUAUUCAGUUGUUGCUGUCAAUCAUGUUGUUGACUUUAAGGAAAAGAAACAGGAAAUUGAAAAACCAGUAGCAGUUUCUGAACUUUUCACAACUUUGCCAGUUGUACAGGGAAAAUCAAGACCAAUUAAAAUUUUAACUAGAUUGACGAUUAUUGUUUCGGAUCCGUCACACUGCAAUGUUUUGAGAGCAACUUCUUCAAGGGUUCGACUUUAUGACAUUGUUGCAGUUUUUCCAAAGACAGAAAAACUUUUUCAUGUUGCUUGCACACAUUUAGAUGUGGAUUUAGUCUGCAUAACUGUAACAGAGAAGUUACCAUUUUACUUCAAAAGACCCCCUAUUAAUGUGGCAAUUGACCGAGGCCUGGGGUUUGAACUUGUCUAUAGCCCUGCUAUCAAAGAUUCUACAAUGAGGAGGUACACAAUUUCCAAUGCCCUCAAUUUGAUGCAGAUCUGCAAAGGAAAGAAUGUAAUUGUUUCUAGUGCUGCAGAAAGGCCUUUAGAAAUCAGAGGGCCGUAUGAUGUCGCAAACUUAGGGUUGCUGUUUGGGCUAUCUGAAAGUGAUGCCAAGGCUGCAGUGUCCACCAACUGCCGAGCAGCACUUCUCCAUGGAGAAACUAGAAAAACUGCUUUUGGAAUUAUUUCUACAGUGAAGAAACCUCGGCCAUCAGAAGGGGAUGAUGAUUCUUUCCCAGCCUGCAAGAAAGCCAAGUGAUCAUCAUGUUAAGUCAAAGCAAAUAUCUGCACUUGUGCUAUAUUGAUGGAAAGGCCCCAAAACACCAUGGAGUAGAGCAAGAGCAAAGAAGCCUGGAGAGCAAGUGGUGAUGAAAUCAUGAAAGGCGGUUUCCACAAGUUGAUGAGAAUUGAAUAUUUUUCCUUGCAAGAAGUGGACCAAAGCCUGGAAGACGUAAGAGUCAUUUGGUGCAAGGUCUGGUGAAUAUGUUGGAUGAUAGAAUUUCCAAGUCCAGUUUGUGUCGUUUGAGCAGCGUUGUUUGUGUGACAUGUGGUCAAGUGAACAAGAGGAUUAUCUGUCUCUGUUAACGUCUCAGCUACUGACUCACAAACAUCUUCAUCAUCUCAUCCACAUGGUUGCACUAGAAUCCGCUGUAAUCUAGUGACCAGGUUUCACAGAGUUCUAGUGGACAACACCAGUGCUGGAUUUCCAGACAGACACCAUUAGCUUUUUUGGAUGCCUUCAAGUUGUGGACUGUAUGUCAGCACUUCAUCUUUAUCCAACCCUGGUGCUGAAUGCUUGGCAAUUGUCAAAAAGAAUCCAUUUUCAUCACUUAUGAUGGUAUAGAAAUAGUUCACUUUUGUGUCAUGACAGCCAAGAAAGGGAUUUCUCUUCUAACACUCAGUUAAUUCAUGUGGAACCCAUCUAUCUAUCCAGCUUCUUUACCUUGCUGAUUAGGUCCAAUUCAUGCUCCGAGAACUCCAUUGGCUUAGGCUGAGGGUGGAUUUUCCCUGAAAUCACAACUGUGCCACUUUUCUUCUUCCCUCUUCUGUUUCCUUCACUCACUGUCAAUAAAUCACUUUCACAAGAAUCUUCAUUUCGAGCGCUGCUUCCAGGGGGCCUGAUUGAAUAAAAAAUUGGGCAAAUCAAGUUGAUCUGAAAAAAAUUAAUGCCCAGUAAACACAGAGGUGCCAAACUUGCUAGACACUAGGGGAAAAUGAAAAAAAAUGUAUCUUUGUUUUGCUGAUCAGCUUGAAAGACAAAAGAAAAAAGAUUUAUAAAACAAGUAUUUUUGGGCAGUGCCUGUGGCUCAAAGGAGUAGGGCGCCGGCCCUAUAUGCCAGAGGUGGUGGGUUCAAACCCAGCCCUGGCCAAAAUAAAAAGCAAACAAAAACAAAAAACAAGUAUUUUCAAGGUUUGGGGGAAAGGCCAUAAUGUCUUAUGGAAGGGGACUUAGUUUGAUAGCAACCUUACAGAUAAUUCUAUAAAUUUAUCCUUUAGAAAUAACUGGUUAGGUAUAAAGGAUACACUGCAAUAGCGUCUAAAAUAAUGUGAGAAUGGAAACAAGCUAAACACAAUAAGGAUUAGCUAAAUAAUCCAUUGUACAUUGAAACAAAAGAAUACUAUGUAUAAAGAUGUCUAGAAUAAGUUGUUUAAUUGGAAAACUUACAAAACUAGGUACACAGUAUCCAUAUAUAACGUGCACAGAAAUAAUCAAAAUAAAUGCCAUGAAAUUAAGAUUA